GUACUCUCUUUGGCAGCACAUAUACUAAGCCUGAAAUGAUAUAGAGAAGAUUCGCAUAGGCCCUGCUCAGGGAUCACAUGCAAAUUCAUGAAGUAUUCCAAAAUUUU